GGGCCGGUAGCUCAGUUGGAAGAGCAACGGACUUUUAAUCCGUGGGUCGUGGGUUCGAAUCCCACCCGGCUCA
rnacentral:tRNA from 1 species